rnacentral:lncRNA from 1 species
UCUGCCCACAGUUGCUCUCAGGCAGUUGCUCCCUUUGACAUUAAUAGAGCUGACUAGGUGUGACUGUGGCUAGAAUAUUGCCUCUCACAUGUACAGAAAAACAGAUAAAACAAAAUGUAACUGCCCCGCUACAUAGAGCUACAUCCAAGACUUUCAUCAGAGCCUUUAAAAAAACUGAAGGAAUAAAGGAAUUGGUUGAGCAUGGGAAGAAGAACAGAUGGAACAUACAGAAAUAUAACCCCAUUCCUGAGGUAUUUCCAGCUGAACUAGUAGCAGAAAAUCACACCAGCGGGCAUGUUCUCAUGACACUUGAAGUCUAAUUCAGCAGAUUCAAGAAGGUGAGAAAGUUUGAAUACUCUUUGUUUAAGCAUUAGAACUG